CGUCAAUAACUUGAUGAUAAUAAAUAAAUUUAAAUAAAUAAUAUUAUUUUAUGAUCCAGUGAGCGCUUUUUUUUUAUUUAAAAAUUAUCGAGAAAGUUAACACAAGCUUGUUGAAAUGUUCUAUUUCAUUAAGUGUAGUAGUGUUUGUUAACUCGUUUUACUGUCGAGGAUUAAGGUCGAGGUUAUGUGUGGUUACGUUUAAGAUGUUGGACAAUGGAAAUCCUGAAGUAAACAAUUGCGUUUGUUUUUACUGGAAUAAUGAAAAGUACUUGGGAACUAUUGUGAAUAUCCCAAUAUGCUAAAUUGAAAAAGUUAGCCAAGAAAUUUAACAAAAAGGAGGACACUGAAAAGGAGUCAUCACUUCCUGAAAGAAGACUGCGAAAACCUUAAUGCUCGUCAUUUACUAAAAACGAAAAUUCUGCUUCCCAAACAUAAAUCUAAGAGAAAAAGUAAAAUUAAUAUAUUAUAUUUAUUACAAUUUUUAAGUACACGAUACUACUAAUAAUUAGGUUUUAGGUAAUAUAUUGGAUUCUGAUGUACCAGUGAGUAAUCUGAAGCAACAAGUCAAAAAAUUUAUCCAUAAAACACAGAAGAUUCAAGAAAAGAUUCCAAGUCUCCGGCACUGAAAUCUGAUUAUGAGAAUAAAUUCAAAUAAAGAGGAAUUGAAAAUGAUAAUUUUAGAGCAAGCAAAGCUUCAAAAUUCUGAUAAAAAAUUGUGUGAAAAUUAUGCUUUCUAAAGUAGGAUGGCCGAAAGUAAACCCCCUGAAAAGUGCAAUGAGCUAUGUCCCAGUUGAUCGGAGAGAAGAGACAGAUCAAUAAAAAUAUUGAUAAAAGUUCUUGAUAUUAUCAAUAUUAAAGAUCGUUAUUCAUUCAUAAUUAUUGCUAUUGUUUUACUUUUUAUUUUUCAGUCUGUAACAUUGUUCAGUAAUGUAAUUUGAUUUUAUUUUUAUUUUUCAUUAAUUGCCAAUGCCAACUAAGAUCAAAUUAAUAUUUGAUCUUAGUUGGCAUACCGCUUAGCAAAAUGAGAAGUUUU